AUUCGGUUCAGAACAGAACCGACCGAAUGCUCUCCCUAAACAAGAUAAAGCUUCCCCCUACUCCUAUCAAUUAAUUACAGCAUUCAGAUAAUCGAAACAUGUACUCCGUCCGCCCUUACCUACCUCGGCAAUAGAUAAUGACACGAGAUGAUUGUUAAAAAAAGACCAAAAGACAAAAGCCAUUCUGUACACGUACAAGCUUUUGGAAGGACAUAAAUCAGAAGAGACUACCCGUUCACAUUUACAGAUAUUAUAAGGGGAAAUUCCUCAGACAAAGAUACAGUUCGCCAAUUGAUUGCCCUCUCAGGACUUGAACCAGUGACAGCUCCACCAUGAACCAACUUUACAAACACUAUACCUACUGCAGAUGUUCCCAAAUAUGUACAUUUGAAACCCUUUCAGAAAAUUGACCAUCACAUAUACCUUAAUGCUAUUCUAACGUGCCUUCAUUUACAGUUCCAAUCGAACUUGUUGGUUCCAAUUCAUCUUCACUCUGGGCUAUCACAAAUCUUAUGUCUCCUGUCACAGCUCCUGGUGGCUCUGACGCCUAGUCACUCAAAUGGAUUAUGAUGACCAUCACAAGGUCAAUAGAUUGGUUUUCUCCACUUCGUAUUAUCCAAACAAAAACAAUCUGUCAGCUCAAAUCAAAACCAGCUUCCGCAUUUAUAGCGUAGAGCAAUUUUGUUUCCAGUUGCUGUUUGCUGUUACCGUAAACAUUUGAUAAGAAAAUUACUAAUGUCAGUAAAUGAAAGAGCAACUGCUUCAAAUUUAUGCAAGAAUACCUGAAAUGGUUAAUAUGGAUAAAAUGUUAAAAACUGGAUUAGAAAGAAGAUGAAAGAUGAAAUGCAUGGGAUUGUCAAUUCAAUGGCAUAUAUGCCUUAUCUGUACAGUAAAUUUCAGUCUAGAAAAUGGAAGUGCAGCGCCAAAUUUUGCUCUGAACAGCUGCAGGGUGAAACCAGUACUAGAAUCCUAGAAAUACCCUAGAGUUUCUCAAUCUUUUUUUCUUUGUAACAUCUAAUUGUAUGAAGCUCAACUGUUGCCUUUCCUAAAACGGCAGAAAUUUUAAAAUAAAAAUAUUACUUAACCAACAAACAGGGACAAACCUUCUAUAUGGUGGAAGCUUCAGAAGAUUCAUACAAGUAGCUGAUGUUGGUAAACGAUCAAGAGCUUCUUCAGAAGCACUGCCAGCAGCCCUCUGUAUGCAAAAUAAUGGCUCAAGGAAUUUAAAUCCAAGCAGUGGUCCUCGUGAGCAACCAGUAACAAACUUCAAAAAUUUCUUCUGUUUUUCCAAGGAAAAGCCUUUGAGAACUUCCCAGAACAUCUCAAUGACAUAAUGCUCACUGUGAUAACCUCCUGCAUAAUUGGCAUGAAGACGAAGGUCAUCAACAUCCAAGCUUUCAAGUGAACCUGAUAUCAAGAGCUGAAGUUCAUGUUCAUUGAACAUAUCAAUCCAAUCUUUCUGUAUGAGCUGCUGAAAGCCCCUCAAAAAAUGAGAACUUUGUUGGCGUAUCUGAAAAUUCAAACGAUGGUUGGAUACAAGAUGAAUAAAUGUAAUAACAUUCUCAUUAGUAACACGAUUGUUUCUUCCUCCAGGAAGCAGUUCUUCUUCUGUUUGCUCUCCAUACUCAUUAUUUACAAUGACAAAGUAGAGUUCCAAUUCAGAAAUGUCACCUUGAUAGUGCUUCAGGAAAAUAAGAUGGCGAUAUAAUUCUGGGUCCAAGGAAGGCAGGUCAUUCAGAUAGUUGAACUUUUGUUUUAAUUUGCUCAAGAAGAAUGUUGCGAAUGGUAUAUCAACAAGAAUACCUUCAAACAUAGCCUUUGCAAGAAGAGUUCCAAGAAAAUGGAAAAACUGAAGAUGCUGUUCAUGUAUCAUUCCUGAACCCGGAUUAGGAUACAGUAGGUGAUCUGCUGUUUCCUUAAAUAAUCCAUACUGCACAUCGAAUGCUGCUCGAGUAAUGUUCUCCAUGAAAUCUUUAAAAAUUCCACCGCCAUCAAUGCCAGCCUCCUCAACUCCAAACUCAUUGACAAAUGCCACACGAAUCAAUCCUCGAAGAUCUUCUUCAGACAAAGCACUCAUCUGAUUAUAAGCAUCUUCCAGAAUAUGAUCCCGUCGAAUUCUGAAUCUGUUCCUUGUAAAAACACCAUGGGCCCCAUUUCUUUGCCUGGCUGCCAAUAAUUGCGAAUUGAAUAUUUUAACCCUGCUUGUAAAAGGUACCAAAAAUGGAGCUCGCUUCAUUAUGUCAUUUGCUUUCGUCCCAUCUAGUACAGCCUGGGAAAUGAAGAAAUCAUCAACACCAUCAGCAUGGAAGUCACUGGGUGGAGUAAAUUGUCGUCUGUUGUUCCAAUCUUGCAACUGAGAGAGGAGUUCAGAAGCUACGACGCUAACUCUGUGUUUAAUAGAUUCAACAGGGUUCCGCCUAUAAGCAGAAGUGUUCAUCAUCUGUUUCACUGCAUUGUUGUGUGCCAUAGGAUUCACCCAUAGGAGCUGCCAUAAGGCCUGUCUCAGAAUAAUAAUUAGGCAUCUGAUAUCUUUUAAUGAUAGUGGCUUCUCCUGUUCAUAGAACUCCUCAUUAUCAACAAUCAUAAGCAUGUGCCUGUAGAACAAUGAUAAGAGUAAGAAAUAUCCACUUCCAUGAAAUGUAAGAGAAUGAGAAUGAGGGGGAGAUUAGACUAAUUCAUGGGCCCAGAGGGACCUGGUUGGCCUGAAAAAAAUGUGAGGCUUGAGCAGGGGUCCCCAACCCAAUAGAGGCCCACUCAAAGAUGGGCUGGGUUUGAAAUUUAAGUUAAUAUCAUACCUGAUUAACAAAAUAUUAAUAUUUUUAUUGCAUGGGCCAGGCCCAACAAUUCUAAAAUAAUGUCAACCCUACUUGGGUCCAGAAAAGCUACAUGACAGUAACAUUGAAAAGGAAUAUGUAAAUGAAACCAAAAAAUAGAAAAACAAUUCAAAUACCAACAUCAGAAGAAACUAAAACAACCAAAAUUACACAAUCAUACUUGUAUACAGGACAAAAAACAGCCAGAGGCAGUAACCAGCCAGGCGCAUCAGCUGGAAGAUGAGAUAACUGCUCAGGCAAGGAUGACCAUUUCUGCUUUUCAUGACACAGCUUCAUAAAAUUCCAAAGCACUCGAACUAGAUCAGUUCUAUAAGCUAGUACAGUCAUGAUUCUUUCAAGCGGUAAGGUAUUGAAAGUGACAUGAAGAAAAGCACAUGCAGCACCAACGGCUGUAACCUCUUUUUCAUCCAGGCCAUAAUGAGAACCACUGAGGAGUGAAAUUCCUCCAAACAAAACAUUUGUCAACUGUAAAAGAAAGCGUGAAUCUAUAGCAUUGGUUAUUUGUUGUUCCAAAUCUCUAUUCAAAACUAUUUCCAUCUCAUCAGGCUGAGUGGCAUCUUCCUCACCCAGUGUAGAACUUUCUUUAGUUUCCCGACUUGAUGAUUUUAUGGGAGGAAUUGUCCCCAACAAGAAUUUUGUAACUGCUGCAAGGUCUAUGGCCAUCUCAAAUGAACAAUCAGGCUGAGACAAAGAAACUCCUGCAGUUUCUAACAUGUUUCCAAGAAGACAGGCAUAACCAGGAUAUUUUGCUGAAACAUCAUUGGGAAGUACAUUAGCAUGGCCCUGCACACAUAGUGCCAUCUGAUGAAUGUAAUGUUGGCUCAGCCCCCAAGUUGCAAAAACCUCUUUUAAGCUUGGAAAAAGCUGCCACAAGAAAGGAAUUGUCAGCAUCUGAGAGGAGAAACUACAUUGCGGAUCAGUAUGUGGGCAAAUACAUGGCUUCUGACCAACAUGAGAAAUUAUCAUAGAGAGCAUGCGCUCCAAUGAAGGAGCUUUUCCAACACAAUUGUUAGGCCUUCUAUUUUCCUUCCCCACAAGAACAAUUUCUCUAAAUAGAGUGAAGGCAUUUCUUUGCAAUAGAUAACCAACAAUCUUACAUGCCCAUGGAAGCUUUUGAUCUAUCAAAAAAACUACAACUUCCAACAAGAGAACUGCUGGUUCACUAGAUUCCCAGGGUGUCAUCAAUAGUUGAUCCUUCAACUGUUCUCUAUUAUGAUAUACAGCCUGAAUACAACAGAACGCAAGUUGUUUCACCCUAUAGUCCACCAAAGCAUGAGUGGUUACAUAAUCCACACCACCAAACAGACUAAUGAUAUCCCCAUUGUCUCGAAAGAGUUGCAAAAGCAAUCGGCAGGUCUCCGUAAGGACAGUAAAAUCACCAUUGUUUUGUGCAUUGAAGAAAAACAACAGAUCACGUAGGAACCCUGAAUCUGGACCAAAAGAAUGCCUGUCUAUAUUUAGGCAAUGCUUCCCAUAGGUUCCAUAGAAUUGAUCUCGCACCUUAUGAUGCUCAGCUUCCACUGCCUUUCUCCCUCUAAAGCAUUUCUGAAUUUUGAUUGCAGCAGCAUUCUGUUGCCGCAACCACAACCGGCGGUUUCGCUCCAAUCUAGUUUGCUCCAGAAGUUUCUGUCUGUCUCUCUCCUUCGAGCUCCGGCCUCCCAAAUCAACUCGCUUCCGAGUAGUUGGAUCACCGGUGAAAAACAUCUUCUCAGGGUUGACUCAACCAACUCACGCCCUGAUUCCUAGAAAAUUAAAAUGAACCACACCGUGUAAUUUGGAGCUUUAAGAAUCGAUCAAAGUUUUUGGAGGGUGGAGGCAAGGCCCGAGUUGAGCAAUUUGGGUAUAAUCGGAGAAAAUGAAGGGAACAGUGAAGUGAAAAAAUCAGAAAAUAAAAUAGCGGAGAAGGUUUUUGUUGUAAAGGAGGAAGAGAGAAUGGAAAAAUUAAUGUUUGGAUUUAGGAAAGGAGCAGGAGAGCUGCAGAAGAGGUGGAGUUCAUGAAUUUUUUGUCACGCUUUUCUCUCGCCUUUCCUUGGCAGAGUGAAGACUAGAAAAAGUUAAUAGAUCAAAUAAGAAAAAGACUGUGAU
rnacentral:misc_RNA from 1 species